rnacentral:miRNA from 1 species
GCAGACACAUUCCAGCCAAUCAGCAGCAGACCCUCCCUACCAGACCCUUCCACCUCAUGGACAGCAUCCAUUUUGAAGCUGCAUUCUUAGUCAGCAGUCCAGGAGGUGGGAGGGUCUGGGAGGGAGGGUCUGCUGCUGAUUGGCUGGAAUGUGUCUG